UACGAAGGGGGCUAGCGUUGUUCGGAAUUACUGGGCGUAAAGGGCGCGUAGGCGGCACUGCAAGUCAGUUGUGAAAUCUCCGGGCUUAACCCGGAAAGGUCAACUGAUACUGCAGGGCUAGAGUGCAGAAGGGGCAACUGGAAUUCUCGGUGUAGCGGUGAAAUGCGUAGAUAUCGAGAGGAACACCUGCGGCGAAGGCGGGUUGCUGGGCUGACACUGACGCUGAGGCGCGAAAGCCAGGGGAGCGAACGGG
rnacentral:rRNA from 1 species